GGCCUGGCCGGGUGGUCUGCUUAACGGCAUGUACUGUCUGGGUGGGCCUUACCUCUUGGUGAGCCGGCGUGCCCUUCAUUGGCGUGCGUCGGGGAACCAGGACUUUUACCUUGAGAAAAUUAGAGUGUUCAAAGCAGGCUGUUUACAGCUUGAAUAUCUUAGCAUGGAAUAAUAGAAUAG
rnacentral:rRNA from 1 species